rnacentral:rRNA from 1 species
UACGGGGGGAGCAAGCGUUGUUCGGAUUUACUGGGCGUAAAGGGCGCGUAGGCGGCCACCGCAAGUCGACUGUGAAAUCUCCGGGCUUAACCCGGAAAGGUCAGCCGAUACUGCGGGGCUAGAGUGCAGAAGGGGCAACUGGAAUUCUCGGUGUAGCGGUGAAAUGCGUUGAUAUCAUCAGGAACACCGGUGGCGAAAGCGGCUUACUGGGUCUCUUCUGACGCUGAGAUACGAAAGCUAGGGGAGCGAAGGGG